CGCGUAGGUGGUUUGUUAAGUUGGAUGUGAGAGCCCCGGGCUCAACCUGGGAACUGCAUCCAAAACUGGCAAGCUAGAGUACGGUAGAGGGUGGUGGAAUUUCCUGUGUAGCGGUGAAAUGCGUAGAUAUAGGAAGGAACACCAGUGGCGAAGGCGACCACCUGGACUGAUACUGACACUGAGGUGCGAAAGCGUGGGGAGCAAACA
rnacentral:rRNA from 1 species